UGCGUAGGUGGUGGGGUAAGUCGGAUGUGAAAGCUCGGAGCUCAACUCCGAAAUGGCAUUGGAAACUACCCUGCUGGAGGUUUGGAGGGGGGACUGGAAUACUUGGUGUAGCAGUGAAAUGCGUAGAUAUCAAGUGGAACACCAGUGGCGAAGGCGAGUCCCUGGACAAAACCUGACACUGAGGCACGAAAGCUAGGGGAGCAAACAG
rnacentral:rRNA from 1 species